GACGAACGCUGGCGGCGUGCUUAACACAUGCAAGUCGAACGGAAAGGCCCUGCUUUUGUGGGGUGCUCGAGUGGCGAACGGGUGAGUAACACGUGAGUAACCUGCCCUUGACUUUGGGAUAACUUCAGGAAACUGGGGCUAAUACCGGAUAGGAGCUCCUGCUGCAUGGUGGGGGUUGGAAAGUUUCGGCGGUUGGGGAUGGACUCGCGGCUUAUCAGCUUGUUGGUGGGGUAGUGGCUUACCAAGGCUUUGACGGGUAGCCGGCCUGAGAGGGUGACCGGCCACAUUGGGACUGAGAUACGGCCCAGACUCCUACGGGAGGCAGCAGUGGGGAAUAUUGCACAAUGGGCGGAAGCCUGAUGCAGCAACGCCGCGUGCGGGAUGACGGCCUUCGGGUUGUAAACCGAUUUCGCCUGUGACGAAGCGUGAGUGACGGUAAUGGGUAAAGAAGCACCGGCUAACUACGUGCCAGCAGCCGCGGUGAUACGUAGGGUGCGAGCGUUGUCCGGAUUUAUUGGGCGUAAAGGGCUCGUAGGUGGUUGAUCGCGUCGGAAGUGUAAUCUUGGGGCUUAACCCUGAGCGUGCUUUCGAUACGGGUUGACUUGAGGAAGGUAGGGGAGAAUGGAAUUCCUGGUGGAGCGGUGGAAUGCGCAGAUAUCAGGAGGAACACCAGUGGCGAAGGCGGUUCUCUGGGCCUUUCCUGACGCUGAGGAGCAAAAGCGUGGGGAGCGAACAGGCUUAGAUACCCUGGUAGUCCACGCUGUAAACGGUGGGUACUAGGUGUGGGGUCCAUUCCACGGGUUCCGUGCCGUAGCUAACGCUUUAAGUACCCCGCCUGGGGAGUACGGCCGCAAGGCUAAAACUCAAAGGAAUUGACGGGGCCCCGCACAAGCGGCGGAGCAUGCGGAUUAAUUCGAUGCAACGCGUAGAACCUUACCUGGGUUUGACAUGGAUCGGGAGUGCUCAGAGAUGGGUGUGCCUCUUUUGGGGUCGGUUCACAGGUGGUGCAUGGCUGUCGUCAGCUCGUGUCGUGAGAUGUUGGGUUAAGUCCCGCAACGAGCGCAACCCUUGUUCACUGUUGCCAGCACGUUAUGGUGGGGACUCAGUGGAGACCGCCGGGGUCAACUCGGAGGAAGGUGGGGAUGACGUCAAGUCAUCAUGCCCCUUAUGUCCAGGGCUUCACGCAUGCUACAAUGGCUGGUACAGAGAGUGGCGAGCCUGUGAGGGUGAGCGAAUCUCGGAAAGCCGGUCUCAGUUCGGAUUGGGGUCUGCAACUCGACCUCAUGAAGUCGGAGUCGCUAGUAAUCGCAGGUCAGCAACGCUGCGGUGAAUACGUUCCCGGG
rnacentral:rRNA from 1 species